AACUAAAUAAUAGUUUAAACAAUGAAGUCGAUUAUUGCGUUAAUAUUUUUAUAUAUAUUUGUAAUGAGUGUAGUGAGGUGCGAUGAAGUUACUAAAAAAAAUUGCGAGAAAAAAUUAUGUCCGCAAUGCAACAGACCUCUUUGUGCCGACGACGAAAUUUUACAUUUCAAACCGUGUGCUUGUUGUCCAGUAUGCAUUAAGGCACCUUUGAGUAGACCAUUCGUGGACCGUCAACACAACUAGCACCAAUUGAAGAUUUUUAAUUAUUAUAUUAUUAAUUUUUAAUAAUAAAAAACUCUAUUAAAUAA